rnacentral:tRNA from 1 species
GCACACCUCAAUUGAGCACAGGAUUCCUAAUCCUGGGGCCGUGGGUUCGAAUCCCGCCGGGCG